AUUGAACGCUGGCGGCAGGCUUAACACAUGCAAGUCGAGCGGAGAUGAGGUGCUUGCACCUUAUCUUAGCGGCGGACGGGUGAGUAAUGCUUAGGAAUCUGCCUAUUAGUGGGGGACAACAUUCCGAAAGGAAUGCUAAUACCGCAUACGUCCUACGGGAGAAAGCAGGGGAUCUUCGGACCUUGCGCUAAUAGAUGAGCCUAAGUCGGAUUAGCUAGUUGGUGGGGUAAAGGCCUACCAAGGCGACGAUCUGUAGCGGGUCUGAGAGGAUGAUCCGCCACACUGCGACGGAGACACGGCCCAGACUCCUACGGGAGGCAGCAGUGAGGAAUAUUGGACAAUGGGGGGAACCCUGCUCCAGCCAUGCCGCGUGUGUGAAGAAGGCCUUAUGGUUGUAAAGCACUUUAAGCGAGGAGGAGGCUACUGAGACUAAUACUCUUGGAUAGUGGACGUUACUCGCAGAAUAAGCACCGGCUAACUCUGUGCCAGCCGCCGCCGUAAGAC
rnacentral:rRNA from 1 species